rnacentral:rRNA from 1 species
GAUGAACGCUGGCGGCGUGCUUAACACAUGCAAGUCGAACGAAGCUGCUUAAAGGAAGUCUUCGGAUGGAAUUUAGGUAGACUUAGUGGCGGACGGGUGAGUAACGCGUGGAUAACCUGCCUUAUACAGGGGGAUAACGGAGAGAAAUUUCCGCUAAGACCGCAUAAGACCACAGCACCGCAUGGUGCAGGGGUAAAAUAUUUAUAGGUAUAAGAUGGAUCCGCGUCCGAUUAGCUAGUUGGUGAGGUAAAGGCCCACCAAGGCGACGAUCGGUAGCCGGCCUGAGAGGGUGAACGGCCACAUUGGGACUGAGACACGGCCCAAACUCCUACGGGAGGCAGCAGUGGGGAAUAUUGGACAAUGGGGGAAACCCUGAUCCAGCGACGCCGCGUGAGUGAAGAAGUAUUUCGGUAUGUAAAGCUCUAUCAGCAGGGAAGAAAAUGACGGUACCUGACUAAGAAGCCCCGGCUAACUACGUGCCAGCAGCCGCGGUAAUACGUAGGGGGCAAGCGUUAUCCGGAUUUACUGGGUGUAAAGGGAGCGCAGACGGCAAUGCAAGUCUGAAGUGAAAGGCGUGGGCUCAACCCAUGAACUGCUUUGGAAACUGUAUAGCUUGAGUGUCGGAGGGGUAAGCGGAAUUCCUAGUGUAGCGGUGAAAUGCGUAGAUAUUAGGAGGAACACCGGAGGCGAAGGCGGCUUACUGUACGACAACUGACGUUGAGGCUCGAAGGCGUGGGGGAGCAAACAGG